rnacentral:rRNA from 1 species
AAUCACUGGGCGUAAAGCGCGCGCAGGCGGCCUUUUAAGUUGGAUGUGAAAGCCUAUGGCUCAACCAUAGAACUGCAUCCAAAACUAUUAGGCUAGAGUCUGGGAGGGAAGAUGGAAUUAGUUGUGUAGGGGUAAAAUCCGUAGAGAUAACUAGGAAUACCAAAAGCGAAGGCGAUCUUCUGGAACAGUACUGACGCUGAGGCGCGAAAGCGUGGGGAGCAAACAGGAUUAGAUACCCUGGUAGUCACGCCCUAAACGAUGAAUGUUAGUCGUCGGAGGCCUAGUGUCUUCGGUGAUGCAGCUAACGCAUUAAACAUUCCGCCUGGGGAGCACGGUCGCAAGAUUAAAACUCAAAGGAAUAGACGGGGACCCGCACAAGUGGUGGAGCAUGUGGUUUAAUUCGAAGAUACGCGAAGAACCUUACCUGGCCUUGACAUUGAGAGAAUCCUUUAGAGAUAGAGGAGUGCCUUCGGGAGCUCGAAAACAGGUGCUGCACGGCUGUCGUCAGCUCGUGUCGUGAGAUGUUGGGUUAAGUCCCGCAACGAGCGCAACCCUCGUCACUAGUUACUAACGGUUCGGCCGAGGAUUCUAGUGAGACUGCCUUCGCAAGGAGGAGGAAGGUGAGGACGACGUCAAGUCAUCAUGGCCCUUACGGCCAGGGCAACACACGUGCUACAAUGGGCAGGACAAUGAGACGCGAUACCGCGAGGUGGAGCAAAUCUAUAAACCUGUUCUCAGUUCGGAUUGUAGUCUGCAACUCGACUACAUGAAGCUGGAAUCACUAGUAAUCGUAGAUCAGCUAUGCUACGGUGAAUACGUUCCCGGGUCUUGUACUCACCGCCCGUCACACCAUGGGAGUUGAUUUCACCCGAAGCGGGGAAGCUAAACUGGCUACCCUCCACGGUGGGAUCAGCGACUGGGGUGAAGUCGUAACAAGGUAACC